GUAGUCUUCAAGCCGUGCUAGAUACAAAAUUGGCAUAUGUCACCAGUUUUGUGCUCUGUGUUUUGGUAGAAACCAUAGACUGUAUAUAAGAUAUAUAUACAGUAUAUAUAACUUAUAUACAGUCUAUGGUAGAAACACAAGAGUGCAAGAUGGCUGCCUUCAUGGAAGAAGACUCGCUUCCCUACAGGUAAAUAGGCAAAUUGAGUUGAUGUUAGCGUCUUUUUGGAAGACGUUCUUGGUCCCUCAUGUUGAUGGACACGUCAUUGGUGCUGUCGAGUUAGCU